GAUACAUGUAGUUGCAACCUGUCUUUGGAAUCUGUUGAAAUAACAAAAAAGAGGCUACAAUGACAUAAUGGUAUAUUUUGUUAUAUAUGAAGUUUAUGAUGGCAUACAUGAUAUCAUUAAUGUGUACAAAACCUUGAUUUUCUGACAGUUUUAUAAUCAGGUUCAUAAUAAUGUUUUUAAUAUAUACAAUAGUUGCAGGGUUUUUUUUCCAAUAUUAAUUUUAGCUUUAUGAAUUAAAACACUUCAGCUUCAUGUUUAUUAAUGGUAAUAGUUUUAAACAUAAAAUGAGUUAAGAUAUUUUUUAUUGAUUUUAUUAUAUUUAGAUUAAUACAUGUAAAAAGUCUAUAUUAAAUGUAUGUGUCAUCUUUUGUACUAAAAUAAAGGAAAAAAGAUAUUUUUUGGAAUAAUUUUGAUUUUCAGUUUUGGUAGAGAGUAGUUUGAGUAUGUACAGUUGUUUGACCUGUCUUACCCUGUGGCAGUCCCAGAAGAUGUUACCAUUAUGAUUAAGUGCAGGGGAACUUGAAGAUAAUGGUUAGUGCAGAAUGGACAUAAAAGUAAUGAUAAAAGCAACAGAUAUAAAUAAGGAGUGCUACAAGUAUGUUGUCAUGUGAAGUGGAUUUUACCCCAACUGUGCUGCAGUCAUGCACCAGCUGUAAACUGAGAUGGACCCACACAAGAAAUAUGUUGCCUUUUUAUGUAUUAUCAUCUGUACAGAAUGUGUUUAUGACAAGACUGUAUACAUAUAUUGUUGAAUCAUGUUUUAUUUCCAUUAUGGCAUGCAUGUUAGAAGCAAGUAUUAAUUUAACAAUAAUUAUUGCAUUCAUAGAAAUGUUAAAAUGUGAUCAAUCUAAUUUAAAGAAUAACCUUUAAUUGAGCAUUUGAAGUUUCAUAUUAUUUGUGGUGGGUAUUGAACCAGUCAUUCAGCAAUACAACUUAUACUGUCUUUGAGUCAUGUCUUGUAUGUUAUAGUUUUCUUAACAAUGCAUAAAAUAUCAAAAUUAUGGUUAAAGAACUCAUUCAUCACUUGUAGAUUAAUGUUAAAGCAGUUCAACAUUUUACCAUAUCUUAAUUAAUAUUCUGUUCAACCAGAUUUGUCGCAUAUUUUCAUAUAAACAUUUGUAAAAUACAGUCUAAUCUACUCUAGAAAUGAUGUUCCACAAAUUUUUAGUUAUAUUUUAUAUUGUUUUGAUGUCUCAACAUAUAAUAACUAACAUAAACAAAACUUAAGUAUUUUACAAUUUGGUUUGUAUAAAUGGUUGUUUUGUUUAUUUAUUUCCAUCCAAGGGAAUAAAGAAAUAUACAUUUUAAAAUAUCUCAUCAUUCCAGAUUAGUACACUACAUAAUCAAGAGAGAAAAAAAAGAAAAAUUAUGUUGGUGGCAUUUAAUAAAAAUUGAUAUACAGUCUUUGUAGUAUUUACUUCUUUAGAUAUGUUGGACGGAAAUGGGAAAAACAACAUACUUUAAAUUUGGGUAGUCAUAAGUUAAUAUGGGAAUUAUUAACUCGAGAAAUAGAUUUUAUCUCACUGUUAUGCCAUCUGAGCUGUAAUAUUUUUCAACAUUGUCAUUGGCAACAAGGCUCAACCAACAUUAUUUUUGUAUAUAUCUUUCAUUCAUGUGUGAUAAAUGUCUUUAUGGUAUUCUUUAAUAUAAUAUAUGCUUUUCAUCUUACCAUGGAUUAAAAAGAUAUAUAUUUAUUUGUCUGAAAAUUAAGGUAAAAUACUGACUGAUUAAAUUGCAAUAUAAGAAAGCUAAUAUGAGAUAAAGGGAGGUAAUUCCUUAAAAAAUAUGUAGAUAAAUAUAAUGAAGGGAAGUAAUAAAAUAUUGUGAAGUUAA